UUCCCCAUUUUACAGUGUACAUUCAUAAAGUUGUGCAACUCUCAGCACUAUCUAAUUCCAGAACAUUUCAUCACCCCAAAAAGAAACCC